AUGGCCCCUCAGCAGUGCCUUGUUUGGAUAGCACUCCUUGCGGUGCCUCUCCUGUGUUACGUGAUGACGUACACUAGAAGAGCUGCCUGCCGGUGGCCGCCGGGCCCCCGGUCGUGGCCCAUUGUCGGCAACCUCCUCGACCUGCGCGGCGGCAACCUCCACCACAACCUCGCGCGCCUGGCGCGCGCCCAUGGCCCGGUGAUGACGCUCAAGCUUGGCGUGGUGAGCACCGUGUUCGUGUCCUCCCGGGAUGCGGCGUGGGAGGCGUUCGCCAAGCAUGACCGCCGUAUAGCGGCGCGCAACGUCCCGGACACGAGGCGCACCGUGGGGCACGCCGACCGUUCCAUGGUGUGGCUACCGAGCUCCGACCCGAUGUGGAAGACGCUGCGUGGUAUCGCUGCCACGCAUGUCUUCUCACCGCGCAGCCUCGCGGCUGCGCAUGGCGCCCGUGAGCGGGCCGUGCAACACAUGCUGGACAUCUUCCGCGGCCGCGCCGGGCUGGAGGUCGACAUUGGCCACGUCCUGUACCACAGCAUUUUCGACCUGCUGACCAACACGAUCUUCUCCCUCGAUGGCCAGGACAAGCUGAGGGACCUUCUCGAGGACAUCGUGGGGCUGCUGGCCGAGCCCAACAUGUCAGACUUGUACCCAUUGCUGCGGGUGCUCGACCUGCAAGGGCUUCGCCGCUGGACGGCCACACACAUGAACCACGCCUUCCAUAUGCUGGAGAAGAUCAUCGACACGCGGCUGGGCGAGGGUAAGCAUUAUCAUGGGGACGUCCUGGACGCACUGCUGACGGUUAUGACCACCGGCAAGCUGAGCCGCCAAGACGUGAAGGCCAUGCUAUUCGACAUCCUGGCGGCGGGCACAGAGACGACCAAGAUCACUGUAGAGUGGGCGAUGGCGGAGCUGUUGCGGAACCCGGGCGUGAUGGCGGCUGUGCACGCCGAGAUGAAGGCCGCCCUCCCGCAGGAGCCGAAGAGGAUGAUCACGGAGGCAGAUGUGGCGAAGCUGCCAUACCUGCAAGCCGCAGUGAAGGAGUCGAUGCGGCUGCACCCCGUGGCGCCGCUACUGCUGCCACACCUGGUUGUCGAGGAGGGCGUGGAGAUAGGCGGCUACGCCGUGCCCAAGGGCGCCACCGUCAUCUUCAACUCUUGGUCCAUCAUGCGCGACCCGGCGGCAUGGGAGAGGCCCGAGGAGUUUGUGCCGGAGCGUUUCCUAGAGAAGGCGGAGCUCGGCAUGUGGGGGAAGGAGGUCAAGUUUAUCCCGCUGGGAACCGGCCGGAGGCUGUGCCCCGCAUUGCCCAUGGUGGAGCUCCUCGUACCCUUCAUGGUGGCGUCUAUGUUGCAUGCCUUGGAGUGGCGGCUGCCCCAGGGCAUGUCACCUGAUCAGGUGGACGUGACCGAGAGGUAUACAAGCAACGAUACCCUCGUUAUGGAUGUGCCUCUCAAGGUUGUGCCCAUGGUCGCCACCUAG
rnacentral:rRNA from 1 species